rnacentral:rRNA from 1 species
UACGAAGGGGGCGAGCGUUGUUCGGAGUUACUGGGCGUAAAGGGCGCGUAGGCGGCGAUCCAAGUUAGGCGUGAAAGCCCCGGGCUUAACCUGGGAAUUGCGCUUAAGACUGGACUGCUUGAGUGCGGGAGAGGUGAGUGGAAUUCCCAGUGUAGAGGUGAAAUUCGUAGAUAUUGGGAAGAACACCAGUGGCGAAGGCAGCCAUCUGGACCGACACUGACGCUGAGGCGCGAAAGCGUGGGGAGCAAACAGG